rnacentral:tRNA from 1 species
UGCGGGGUGGAGCGGCUGGUAGCUCGCCAGGCUCAUAACCUGGAGGUCGCAGGUUCGAAUCCUGCCCCCGCAA